rnacentral:tRNA from 1 species
GGUGGCUCAGUGGUAGAGUGCUUGCCUUCCAUGCAUGAGGUCCUGGGUUCGAUUCCUCAGCACCA